rnacentral:rRNA from 1 species
UACAGAGGGUGCAAGCGUUGUUCGGAAUUAUUGGGCGUAAAGGGCGCGUAGGCGGUGCGGUAAGUCCGCAGUGAAAUCUCUGGGCUCAACUCAGAGUCUGCUGUGGAAACUGCCGUGCUAGAGUGUGGGAGAGGUGAGUGGAAUUCCCGGCGUAGCGGUGAAAUGCGUAGAUAUCGGGAGGAACACCUGUGGCGAAAGCGGCUCACUGGACCACAACUGACGCUGAGGCGCGAAAGCUAGGGGAGCAAACAGG